CCUACGGGAGGCAGCAGUGAGGAAUAUUGGUCAAUGGACGAGAGUCUGAACCAGCCAAGUAGCGUGAAGGAUGACUGCCCUAUGGGUUGUAAACUUCUUUUAUAUGGGAAUAAAACGUUCCACGUGUGGGAUUUUGUAUGUACCAUAUGAAUAAGGCUCGGCUAACUCCGUGCCAGCAGCCGCGGUAAUACGGAGGAUCCGAGCGUUAUCCGGAUUUAUUGGGUUUAAAGGGAGCGUAGGUGGAUUGUUAAGUCAGUUGUGAAAGUUUGCGGCUCAACCGUAAAAUUGCAGUUGAAACUGGCAGUCUUGAGUACAGUAGAGGUGGGCGGAAUUCGUGGUGUAGCGGUGAAAUGCUUAGAUAUCACGAAGAACUCCGAUUGCGAAGGCAGUUCACUGGACUGCAACUGACACUGAGGCUCGAAAGUGUGGGUAUCAAACAGGAUUAGAUACCCUUGUAGUC
rnacentral:rRNA from 1 species